rnacentral:rRNA from 1 species
UAGGGAAUUUUCGUCAAUGGGCGCAAGCCUGAACGAGCAAUGCCGCGUGAACGAGGAAGGUCUUCGGAUCGUAAAGUUCUGUUGAAGGGGAAAAAGAGCGGAGAGAGGAAAUGCUUUCUGAUUGAUAUUACCCCUUCGAGGAAGUCACGGCUAACUACGUGCC